CCUCCCCGCUGCAGCCCCCGCACUCCUUCUUCGGCGCCCAGCACCGGGACCCUCUCCAUUUCUACCCCUGGGUCCUGCGGAACCGCUUCUUCGGCCACCGCUUCCAGGCAGCGACGUGCCCCAGGACGGGCUGCUUCUGCACGGCCCCUUCGCACGCAAGCCCAAGCGGAUCCGCACGGCCUUCUCGCCCUCGCAGCUGCUGCGGCUGGAGCGCGCCUUCGAGAAGAACCACUACGUGGUGGGCGCCGAGCGGAAGCAGCUGGCCGGCAGUCUCAGCCUCUCCGAGACGCAGUGAAGGUGUGGUUCCAGAACCGGAGGACAAAGUACAAACGGCAGAAGCUGGAGGAGGAAGGGCCUGAGUCCGAGCAGAAGAAGAAGGGCUCCCAUCACAUCAACCGGUGGCGCAUUGCCACGAAGCAGGCCAAUGGGGAGGACAUCGAUGUCACCUCCAAUGACUAG
rnacentral:lncRNA from 1 species